UACGGGGGGGGCAAGCGUUGUUCGGAAUUACUGGGCGUAAAGGGCCAGUAGGCGGCCAACUAAGUCGGAUGUGAAAUCCCCAGGCUUAACCUGGGAACUGCAUCCGAUACUGGAUGGCUUGAAUUCGGGAGAGGGAUGCAGAAUUCCAGGUGUAGCGGUGAAAUGCGUAGAUAUCUGGAGGAAUACCGGUGGCGAAGGCGGCAUCCUGGACCAAUACUGACGCUCAUGUGCGAAAGCGUGGGGAGCAAACAGG
rnacentral:rRNA from 1 species